GCGCCCAUAGUUCAAUGGACAGAACGUUAGGUUCCGGACCUAGAGGCUAGAGGUUCGAGUCCUCUUGGGCGCA
rnacentral:tRNA from 6 species